CCUACGGGCGGCAGCAGUGAGGAAUAUUGGUCAAUGGGCGCGAGCCUGAACCAGCCAAGUAGCGUGAAGGAUGACUGCCCUACGGGUUGUAAACUUCUUUUAUAAAGGAAUAAAGUGAGGCACGUGUGCCUUUUUGUAUGUACUUUAUGAAUAAGGAUCGGCUAACUCCGUGCCAGCAGCCGCGGUAAUACAGAGGAUCCGAGCGGUAUCCGGAUUUAUUGGGUUUAAAGGGAGCGUAGAUGGGUUGUUAAGUCAGUUGUGAAAGUUUGCGGCUCAACCGUAAAAUUGCAAUUGAUACUGGCAGCCUUGAGUACAGUUGAGGUAGGCGGAAUUCGUGGUGUAGCGGUGAAAUGCUUAGAUAUCACGAAGAACCCCGAUUGCGAAGGCAGCUUACUAAACUGUGACUGACAUUGAUGCUCGAAAGUGUGGGUAUCAAACAGGAUUAGAUACCCCAGUAGUC
rnacentral:rRNA from 1 species